UACGUAGGGGGCAAGCGUUGUCCGGAAUCAUUGGGCGUAAAGCGCGUGUAGGCGGCCCGGUAAGUCCGCUGUGAAAGUCCAGGGCUCAACCCUGGGAUGCCGGUGGAUACUGUCGGGCUCGAGUCCGGAAGAGGAGAAUGGAAUUCCCGGUGUAGCGGUGAAAUGCGCAGAUAUCGGGAAGAACACCCGUGGCGAAGGCGGUUCUCUGGGACGGUACUGACGCUGAGACGCGAAAGCGUGGGGAGCGAACAGG
rnacentral:rRNA from 1 species